AAGGAAGAAUUGCAAUGUGAUCGAAAGUAACUUGCUUCAGUUAGUAAUGUUCUCAUGGCGACGGUGCAAGCCCUCGCGGUGAAUUGGACGGUUGAAGAACGCAGGAUUUUGACGGCUGUCAAUAGCGGCGCUUCCAGUCUGUCUUUCCUCAGCUCCAGAUUCAUAGUUCCAUGUUACAUUCUCUUCAAGAACCUACGGACCCAUCAAAAGGACUCUUCUGCAUUGCCCAAGUGUCAUCUUUCCUGUGGACUACUGUAAUAGCCUUUACUUACUCUUCAUCGUACUGUUGUUCGACACAAAACAGAUGUUGAAGAUAUGGAACCAAUGUUCCAACUGUAUGUUUGGGGAACUUCACUAGUGACUAGUACGGUCACACGAUCUAUUGGUGAUCAUCAUGAACAUUUAAGAGGCCUUGGUGCCUGGUGUUUGACGCAACUGGGAACAAGAGGGAAGGCGGUUCACUUAAUAACAUUUUAUAUCCCUUUCUGGGGUGCUAUUCUUUUCAAUGGGAUUACAUACUUCCAAGUCAUACGCAUGCUAAAUAAUGUUGCACGAAUUGCUGCUGGUAUGUCAAGUAGGCUAUACCAACCAGAUUGGCGACCAGACAUGAAGCAUAAUAUCCAUGGAAUUCAAGUCAGUACGCAGUAGUAAACAUGUGAAUUUUUGAAUGCUGCAUCCAACAAAUGGUUGCUUUGAUCAGUCUAUUUUGGUAGAUCAAAAUCUUCAGAAACCACCAGAAUUCUGUGAGAUAUACAUGCAGUGAACAGUUGGGGCUUUUAUCCUCUAAUUUUGAUAGUAUCAUGGAUGUUUAGUACAAUAAACUGCAUCCAUGAUUUCAUUGAACCAGAUCAUAAAGUAUUUUGGCUCUCUGUUUAUGAUGUUGAAAUGGCCUCACUAAUGGUAACAAUCUUAUUAUAGCUUACACUUCUCUGUUCUUUUGAUUUAGAUGUGAAAAAUAGUAUUGCCUUGCAUUUUAGACCUAUAAGAUGCUAGUUUUAAAAAUCCAGUGUAGGGUUUGUUCAACUUAAUAGCAUAUAACCUCAACUCCUCUGUGCAAAGAGAAAUUUACCUCGACAGGCAAGUCUCAAAACAAAAUCUAUCUGCAAUUUCGUUUGUCAUUAUUAUUUUUUGAAUCUGUAAGUGAAUGAAUUUUUCUUUGCAGUUUUUUCAAGGUUGUUUGAAAGCUUGAGAAGAUGGUUUCCUAAUAUUAUUAGUUCAAAAUCCAGAGGCCAACAACAUGAGAAUGAACUAGUUGCAUUAAAAUUUGAGCAGCAACAUUAGCAAACAGUACAAAUUAUGUCUGAUUCUUUGCUGGGCAGGAAUGAACAAAUAGAUUGUAUAGUUUAAAGCUUUCUGGGCCAUUCUGAUUGUUCAUUAUUUGAAUUAUAAUGUAACCAAUUAUA